rnacentral:rRNA from 1 species
CGGGGUGGAGUAACGCGUGGGUAACCUGCCUCAUACAGGGGGAUAACGGUUAGAAAUGACUGCUAAUACCGCAUAAGCGCACAGUACCGCAUGGUACGGUGUGAAAAACUCCGGUGGUAUGAGAUGGACCCGCGUCUGAUUAGCUAGUUGGUGAGGUAACGGCCCACCAAGGCGACGAUCAGUAGCCGACCUGAGAGGGUGACCGGCCACAUUGGGACUGAGACACGGCCCAG